rnacentral:lncRNA from 1 species
UUUUCGGAAAUUGCACCUUGAUCCUAGUUAAAAUUAAAAUCGGGUCCUCCAGUUUCUCAAAUUACAAAUAAGCCCUUUUAUUAAAUUGCAAGUUUAAUCCCAAUCUCUUAAUUCUAGACAGGGGCCUCUAAUCUCACAAAUUGCAAGAGAGGCCCCCAUCCCCAAAACUACCACACACAACCAAAACAGGCCCUAAAUUAACCACCCAAUUUCUUCUUCCACCGGCGCCACUUUUGGGUCUUUGCUGUCGGCCAAACUAAAACCUUAAAUCCACCAUUUAUUUCUCCUCCAACAACAUCAAUUCUCAAUUUUUACAACAAUAAGGAAAAAAAAAAUGCUCAAACAUAUAACAAUGGUUGCCGGCUUCUUUUCUUCUAUACCAAGUUCAAUAGAUUUCUUCCUUCAACAUCAAUUCUCAUCCCAAUUAAUUUAUCAAAGGUAAAACAAAAAUGAAAAGAAAAACUGACAACUUUAAAAUAAUAAAAAAGAGAAAAGAGGAAAAAACCCAACAGCAAACUUUGAUGGUAAAAAAACCCAAAUCAAUUGGCAAGUGUAAAUGCCACUACCGUCGGCAGAGUAGCCCAGAAUUGCUUAUCAAUUAAUUCCCUGUUGUUUCGCCAUGUGAGAAUUACAGAGGAGAGAGAACUUUAUUCUUGGUUUUGGUUUAGUUUGUU